GCAUAAUACAUGCAAGGCGAAGGGGCAGCAAUGUCACUGUCGUACGGGUGCGUAACGCGUAUGCAACCUACCUAUCACUGGGGGAUAGCCCGGGGAAACCCCGGAUUAAUACCGCAUAAAACAGGGGCACCGCAUGGUGAUAUUUGUUAAAGAUUUAUUGGUGAUAGAUGGGCAUGCGUUCGAUUAGCUAGUUGGCGGGGUAACGGCCCACCAAGGCGACGAUCGAUAGGGGAGCUGAGAGGUUGGUCCCCCACACGGGCACUGAGAUACGGGCCCGACUCCUACGGGAGGCAGCAGUAGGGAAUAUUGGGCAAUGGAUGCAAGUCUGACCCAGCCAUGCCGCGUGCCGGAUGAAGGCCCUCAGGGUUGUAAACGGCUUUUAUUCGGGAAGAAGAGCAGGGAUGCGUCCUUGUGUGACGGUACCGAAUGAAUAAGCACCGGCUAACUCCGUGCCAGCAGCCGCGGUAAUACGGAGGGUGCGAGCGUUGUCCGGAUUUAUUGGGUUUAAAGGGUGCGUAGGUGGCCUAGUAAGUCAGUGGUGAAAUACGGUUGCUCAACAAUCGAGGUGCCAUUGAUACUGCAAGGCUUGAAAUAAUUGGAGGCUGCCGGAAUGGAUGGUGUAGCGGUGAAAUGCAUAGAUAUCAUCCAGAACACCGAUUUGCGAAGGCAGGUGGCUACGAUU
rnacentral:rRNA from 1 species